GAUGAACGCUGGCGGCGUGCCUAAUACAUGCAAGUCGAGCGAACGGACGAGAAGCUUGCUUCUCUGAUGUUAGCGGCGGACGGGUGAGUAACACGUGGAUAACCUACCUAUAAGACUGGGAUAACUUCGGGAAACCGGAGCUAAUACCGGAUAAUAUUUUGAACCGCAUGGUUCAAAAGUGAAAGACGGUCUUGCUGUCACUUAUAGAUGGAUCCGCGCUGCAUUAGCUAGUUGGUAAGGUAACGGCUUACCAAGGCAACGAUGCAUAGCCGACCUGAGAGGGUGAUCGGCCACACUGGAACUGAGACACGGUCCAGACUCCUACGGGAGGCAGCAGUAGGGAAUCUUCCGCAAUGGGCGAAAGCCUGACGGAGCAACGCCGCGUGAGUGAUGAAGGUCUUCGGAUCGUAAAACUCUGUUAUUAGGGAAGAACAUAUGUGUAAGUAACUGUGCACAUCUUGACGGUACCUAAUCAGAAAGCCACGGCUAACUACGUGCCAGCAGCCGCGGUAAUACGUAGGUGGCAAGCGUUAUCCGGAAUUAUUGGGCGUAAAGCGCGCGUAGGCGGUUUUUUAAGUCUGAUGUGAAAGCCCACGGCUCAACCGUGGAGGGUCAUUGGAAACUGGAAAACUUGAGUGCAGAAGAGGAAAGUGGAAUUCCAUGUGUAGCGGUGAAAUGCGCAGAGAUAUGGAGGAACACCAGUGGCGAAGGCGACUUUCUGGUCUGUAACUGACGCUGAUGUGCGAAAGCGUGGGGAUCAAACAGGAUUAGAUACCCUGGUAGUCCACGCCGUAAACGAUGAGUGCUAAGUGUUAGGGGGUUUCCGCCCCUUAGUGCUGCAGCUAACGCAUUAAGCACUCCGCCUGGGGAGUACGACCGCAAGGUUGAAACUCAAAGGAAUUGACGGGGACCCGCACAAGCGGUGGAGCAUGUGGUUUAAUUCGAAGCAACGCGAAGAACCUUACCAAAUCUUGACAUCCUUUGACAACUCUAGAGAUAGAGCCUUCCCCUUCGGGGGGGCAAAGUGACAGGUGGUGCAUGGUUGUCGUCAGCUCGUGUCGUGAGAUGCUGGGUUAAGUCCCGCAACGAGCGCAACCCUUAAGCUUAGUUGCCAUCAUUAAGUUGGGCACUCUAAGUUGACUGCCGGUGACAAACCGGAGGAAGGUGGGGAUGACGUCAAAUCAUCAUGCCCCUUAUGAUUUGGGCUACACACGUGCUACAAUGGACAAUACAAAGGGCAGCGAAACCGCGAGGUCAAGCAAAUCCCAUAAAGUUGUUCUCAGUUCGGAUUGUAGUCUGCAACUCGACUACAUGAAGCUGGAAUCGCUAGUAAUCGUAGAUCAGCAUGCUACGGUGAAUACGUUCCCGGGUCU
rnacentral:rRNA from 1 species